UACGGGGGGGGCAAGCGUUGUUCGGAAUUACUGGGCGUAAAGGGCUCGUAGGUGGCCAACUAAGUCAGACGUGAAAUCCCUCGGCUUAACCGGGGAACUGCGUCUGAUACUGGAUGGCUUGAGUUCGGGAGAGGGAUGCGGAAUUCCAGGUGUAGCGGUGAAAUGCGUAGAUAUCUGGAGGAACACCGGUGGCGAAGGCGGCAUCCUGGACCAACACUGACACUGAGGGGCGAAAGCCAGGGGAGCAAACGGG
rnacentral:rRNA from 1 species